AUUGAACGCUGGCGGCAGGCCUAACACAUGCAAGUCGAGCUAGCGUCGGACGGGUGAGUAAUGUCUGGGAAACUGCCUGAUGGAGGGGGCUAACUACUGGAAACGGUAGCUAAUACCGCAUACCAUCAGAUGUGCCCAGAUGGGAUUAGCUGGUAGGUGGGGUAACGGCUCACCUGGACGACGAUCCCUAGCUGGUCUGAGUGGAGGACCAGCAAAACUGGAACUGAGACACGGUCCAGACUCCUACGGGAGGAAGCAGCGGGGAUUCUUGCACAAUGGGGGCAAGCCUGAUGAAGCCAGGCCGCGUGGGUGAAGAAGGCCUUCGGGUUGUAAAGCACUUUCAGCGGGGAGGCGUUACCCGCAGAAGAAGCACCGGCUAACUCCGGUCCAGCAGCCGCGGUAAUAC
rnacentral:rRNA from 1 species